AUGAACGCUGGCGGCGUGCCUAAUACAUGCAAGUCGAGCGAACGGACGAGAAGCUUGCUUCUCUGAUGUUAGCGGCGGACGGGUGAGUAACACGUGGAUAACCUACCUAUAAGACUGGGAUAACUUCGGGAAACCGGAGCUAAUACCGGAUAAUAUUUUGAACCGCAUGGUUCAAAAGUGAAAGACGGUCUUGCUGUCACUUAUAGAUGGAUCCGCGCUGCAUUAGCUAGUUGGUAAGGUAACGGCUUACCAAGGAACGAUGCAUAGCCGACCUGAGAGGGUGAUCGGCCACACUGGAACUGAGACACGGUCCAGACUCCUACGGGAGGCAGCAGUAGGGAAUCUUCCGCAAUGGGCGAAAGCCUGACGGAGCAACGCCGCGUGAGUGAUGAAGGUCUUCGGAUCGUAAAACUCUGUUAUUAGGGAAGAACAUAUGUGUAAGUAACUGUGCACAUCUUGACGGUACCUAAUCAGAAAGCCACGGCUAACUACGUG
rnacentral:rRNA from 1 species